rnacentral:rRNA from 1 species
CACGUAGGGCGCAAGCGUUGUCCGGAAUUAUUGGGCGUAAAGAGCUCGUAGGCGGUCUGUUGCGUCCGCUGUGAAAACUCGGGGCUUAACCCCGAGCCUGCAGUGGAUACGGGCAGACUAGAGGUAGGUAGGGGAGAAUGGAAUUCCCGGUGUAGCGGUGAAAUGCGCAGAUAUCGGGAGGAACACCGGUGGCGAAGGCGGGUCUCUGGGCCGAUACUGACGCUGAGGGACGAAAGCUAGGGGAGCGAACGGG